CCAAAUACAUGAUGAUCUCAUUGCAACUUGAACUCUCUCACUGAUCAUUUGAUGAUUAAAAAAAAAAAAAAAGAAAGCAUAGCCAAAUAUG
rfam:Canis lupus familiaris chromosome 37, whole genome shotgun sequence.